ACGCCCCAGGUGCCCGCAGCAGCAGCAGUGUGCUGGGGCUGUGUCUCUGCGCACUGGCUGGCUCUGGGCUGGGAAGUUUCAAGCAUUCCCUUCUCCCCCUUCACACACUUAACCCUACCUUGUCUGGUCAAGAGGGAUCCAGACAAAAUCAACCUUCUGCGUCAAGAGCUGCGUCCAGCUGCCUCAGAGGCACAGAGUCUGUUCCUGGCCCCACCUGGCUUUCACCAUAAACUAGAACGAGCGUCCAAGGCCCAGGACGCUGCAGCUUUGCAAGGGUUGUUGACUCCAGGAGGGCAGGAACAGCACCCGACUGGGAGUCUGCAAGUGUGUGGGGUAUGACAUUCAUCUCACAUGCACAGAGCACACCAUGAGUAAAGAAUUCUCAUCCUCUGGUA